AUAAGUAGCCAUAUCACCCUGUAGCCCAAGACUGGUACCCACUGAAGCUAAGCAGGGCUGAGCCUGGUCAGUACCUGGAUGUGAGACCUCCUGGGAAAACUAGGUUGCUGCUGGAA
rnacentral:rRNA from 1 species